rnacentral:rRNA from 1 species
CAGUCGCCGCGGGAAUACGAACCGUGCGAACGUUAUUCGGAAUCACUGGGCUUAAAGCGCGUGUAGGCGGGCCGCCACGUCGGCUGCUGAAAUCCCCCGGCUCAACCGGGGAACGGGCACCGAUACGAGCGGCCUGGAGGGGGGUAGGGGGGACUGGAACUUCCGGUGGAGCGGUGAAAUGCGUUGAGAUCGGAAGGAACGCCCGUGGCGAAAGCGAGUCCCUGGACGUCUACUGACGCUGAGACGCGAAAGCUAGGGGAGCGAACGGGAUUAGAUCCCCCGUAGUCCCUGUCUCUUAUAU